GUCACACAGGCAUGCAUCAGGCUUCCAGAAGGCUGCAGAGGCCGGCAAUGCAUGGCUGCUCUAGAUUCUCUGUAAAGAGUUCCUGAUAAUCCAUUAUGUAAAACUGCCCAGAAACAUGGGAUAUCCAUGAAGGAAAACUGUUGGCAAGGAGUAGACUUAAUCCUACCCCCGAAAAGGCUAUAUUUACUUCAGGUGGUAGCAUGUUGGAAUGGAGCUGCCCAAGGUUGUUAUAACUGAGGUGAGUACAUUGUGAACUUCUCCCAUACACAGAGCAGCAGGAUUUGAUGAUGUCUGCCCUGCUGAUUCUUUACCUUGCUUUGCCCUGAUUUUUCCUUGCCAUGUCCCAUUCCUCCCUUUUGAAACCUGAACGUUAAUUCUGUGGUUAUUAUAUAUUGGAAAUAUGUGACUUGUUUAUUGCAUGUGGCUUGUUUACUAGAUAUCCUUCCCUAUAGAGGAUCCCAUGAUGCUGCUAUCUAGUCUUUUGAAAUCUUUUCCACACCUGUACACCUGUAUAUUCUUGUGUGAAGACUGUCUUCCUAGCUGGACUGGAAACUUCAUGAAGAUACUCUCAUAGGCCCUGGCAGUAGCCCAUGACCAUCAACAAAACAUGGCUCCAGGAGGCAGCACAGACUACAGACAUCCUCGUGGCCUUUGGUGGUAACACAGACCAUGGACAUCAACAUGGCCUCUAGCAGGAGAAUAGACCACAAACAUUCACAGGGUUUCCAGCUGCAGGCCAGACCGGGAACCUUAACAUGGCUUCUAGUAGCAGCACAGGCCACAGACAUCAACAUGGCCUCUUGUGGCAGCACAGACUGGAUAUCAACAUGGCCUUGUGUGUCAGCACAAACCAUCAACAUGGAUUCAGGCAGCAGCAUAGACCAUGGACAAUCCACACACAGGCCACACAUAUCAACAUGGCCCCUGGCUGCAGGAGGACCGUGGACCCCAGCCUGGCCCUUGGCAGCAGGACAGACCAUGGACAUCAGUAUGGCCUCAGGCGACAGUACAGGCCACACACAUCAAUGUGGCCUUCAGCAGCAACUUGGACCAUGGAAACUAACUUGGCCUCCAGUGGCAGCACAGACCACAGCAAUGCACAUAAACCUUGGGUUUCAACAUGGCCUGGAGCAGCAGUACCACA
rnacentral:lncRNA from 1 species